rnacentral:rRNA from 1 species
CAGCCGCCGCGGGAAUACGGAGGGUGCAAGCGUUAAUCGGAAUUACUGGGCGUAAAGCGUGCGUAGGCGGUUCGUUAAGUCUGUUGUGAAAGCCCCGGGCUCAACCUGGGAAUGGCAAUGGAUACUGGCGAGCUAGAGUGUGUCAGAGGAUGGUGGAAUUCCCGGUGUAGCGGUGAAAUGCGUAGAGAUCGGGAGGAACAUCAGUGGCGAAGGCGGCCAUCUGGGACAACACUGACGCUGAGGCACGAAAGCGUGGGGAGCAAACAGGAUUAGAUACCCCUGUAGUCCCUGUCUCUUAUAC